rnacentral:rRNA from 1 species
GACGAACGCUGGCGGCGUGCUUAACACAUGCAAGUCGAACGGUAAGGCUCCAGCUUGCUGGGGUACACGAGUGGCGAACGGGUGAGUAACACGUGGGUGACCUGCCCUGCACUUCGGGAUAAGCCUGGGAAACUGGGUCUAAUACCGGAUAGGACCGCACCGUGAGGGUGUGGUGGAAAGUUUUUUCGGUGUGGGAUGGGCCCGCGGCCUAUCAGCUUGUUGGUGGGGUAAUGGCCUACCAAGGCGGCGACGGGUAGCCGGCCUGAGAGGGUGGACGGCCACAUUGGGACUGAGACACGGCCCAGACUCCUACGGGAGGCAGCAGUGGGGAAUAUUGCACAAUGGGCGGAAGCCUGAUGCAGCGACGCCGCGUGGGGGAUGACGGCCUUCGGGUUGUAAACUCCUUUCACCAUCGACGAAGGGUUUCUGACGGUAGAUGGAGAAGAAGCACCGGCUAACUACGUGCCAGCAGCCGCGGUAAUACGUAGGGUGCGAGCGUUGUCCGGAAUUACUGGGCGUAAAGAGCUCGUAGGUGGUUUGUCGCGUCGUCUGUGAAAUUCCGGGGCUUAACUCCGGGCGUGCAGGCGAUACGGGCAUAACUUGAGUACUGUAGGGGAGACUGGAACUCCUGGUGUAGCGGUGAAAUGCGCAGAUAUCAGGAGGAACACCGGUGGCGAAGGCGGGUCUCUGGGCAGUAACUGACGCUGAGGAGCGAAAGCAUGGGGAGCGAACAGGAUUAGAUACCCUGGUAGUCCAUGCCGUAAACGGUGGGCGCUAGGUGUGGGUUUCCUUCCACGGGAUCCGUGCCGUAGCUAACGCAUUAAGCGCCCCGCCUGGGGAGUACGGCCGCAAGGCUAAAACUCAAAGGAAUUGACGGGGGCCCGCACAAGCGGCGGAGCAUGUGGAUUAAUUCGAUGCAACGCGAAGAACCUUACCUGGGCUUGACAUAUACAGGAUCGCGCCAGAGAUGGUGUUUCCCUUGUGGCUUGUAUACAGGUGGUGCAUGGUUGUCGUCAGCUCGUGUCGUGAGAUGUUGGGUUAAGUCCCGCAACGAGCGCAACCCUUGUCUUAUGUUGCCAGCACGUUGUGGUGGGGACUCGUAAGAAACUGCCGGGGUUAACUCGGAGGAAGGUGGGGAUGACGUCAAAUCAUCAUGCCCCUUAUGUCCAGGGCUUCACACAUGCUACAAUGGUCGGUACAGUGGGUUGCCAGUCCGUGAGGGCGAGCUAAUCCCGCAAAGCCGGUCUCAGUUCGGAUCGGGGUCUGCAACUCGACCCCGUGAAGUCGGAGUCGCUAGUAAUCGCAGAUCAGCAACGCUGCGGUGAAUACGUUCCCGGGCCU